GGUCUAUUAGUCUAGUUGGUUAGGACGUCGGAUUCUGAUUUCACAUCAUAUCCUUCCGUAGGCCCAGGUUCGAAUCCUGGAUGGACCU
rnacentral:tRNA from 2 species